ACACUUGUAGCUUAAAUGGUAAAGCGUCUGUUUCCGAUGCAGGAAGAUGUAGGUUCGACCCCUACCAAGUGUGCCA
rnacentral:tRNA from 1 species